AUGUCUCCUGUGUAGGAUCUAGGGAUUGGGGUGCCUGAUGUAAAGCACACAGCCCUUGCUUUCCAGGGAAAAGUCUUGUAUUUUGGUGUUGCCUUCUGAUUGUGGAUUGCUACACCUGAAGUGUUUUGUCUGUUUGUUAGAGGGUCUCUCUGGUGAGACCCUACCUCUUCUACCUGCUUUGGAUGCUGCCCUUUUAUCCUUUGUUGUGGAGGCUUUGUUUGGACCAGUUGUCAAGUCUUUUCCCGAGAAAAUUACUGCAUAUGUAGUUGUAAAUUUGUUUUGUCCGUGGGAAGAGGUGAGUGCCAGAUCUUCCUACACCACCGUCUUCAGCCCUGUCCUCCCAGAAAUCGCGGGGUCUAUGCUGGAAAGGAUUGGGAUUACGUCUCUUGGGGUGGGGUCUAUUGUGCUCCGUGUAAGGGGGAAAUCAAAGGAGUACAUGAAAUGUCUCCUAUUCAGAAUUGUGGACUGUGCCAGUGAUAGCUAGCACUCCCUAAAUUCUACAUUUGCCUCCCUGAAUUUUCUAAUCUCUUUGAUAUUAGGUUGGACCCUGAGAGCUAUCCUGAAGAACGGACUACAGGCAGGUGUGAUGGGUAUCGCUUCUGAGAGAUGGCAAUUGAAAGCUGCCAUUGGGUGUCUCCUUCAACCUUGAGGUUACAGCUUGGAGACAUGUGUUUCCAAUAACAGGUCCUUACCACGUGAUAACUAACAUCUAAGAACUGGAUCCCAAACAAACAUGUUCCAGGACAUUAGCUUCAAAUAGACCUCCGCCGACACUGGCAUCAAUACCUCCUACCUUUGAUGAUUCAUGAAAGAACAACUAUUAUUCACCUGUCACUCACCUUUGAUUGGACCCUACCCUGGAUUUCUAAAGGAACAUGGACCCUAGAUCCUUUUCCAGUGUGAACCCCUAACACCAAGCAAUAAUGACUCAUUCUCCUUUCUAAGUCUCCUACAUCAAUUACAAAUCCUAUUCUGGAGUCAGACGUCUCAUGAUUCCUGGCUCUGCUACCUAUUAGUAUGAAUUAGGCAAGUUAUUUAACCUCCUUGUGACUAAGUUUCCUCAUCCUUAAAAGAGGAUAAUAAAUUAUCUCAGA